UCUGACAUAGAGAUUGUGGAAGUCACGGAGCCUCCAAAGAGGAAAUCUGGAGUUAUCGUUUCUUCAGUGGAUGAGUUGAUAUAUAAGCUCAAAAAUGAAGCUCAUGUAGUUUGAAGAAACAAACCUUAUAUGUCUUCAUCAUGAUCUGCUACACGCACACUUGUCAUUUUUCUUUCUUCUUUAGAUACAUUGCUAUUUCAGGAAUGAAGUAGAAAGUAAAUAAAUAAAGGACGUGUAAAACAGUUUAUUUGGUAAGUUACUUGAAAAAAUCUUCACUUUUAUUACAUUUUUUCUUCUGUUUGAUAAAGUGCUAGAAAAUCUCAACGCUUUGAACCACAUCUUUGCUUCAUAAACCAAUCAUUGUAUCCAAGACCAUACAAGCUUUAUGACAGUCUUGUGCUUGUAUCAAGGUAUUACGGAAUGAUUAAGAGUUUGGUACAUUUUGCAAAUUGCAAGUGGUGGUUUUCUUCUUCAGCAAACUAUGUUUAGGAUUUUUUUCUUCUGCGUCACGUUUUAGGGUCGGGCUUUAGAGUUACAAGGGGUGGAGCUCCGGGCAAGCGCAGGGACGUUAGCAUAACCUAGAUUGUGGAAUUACAAAGUGUUGAUGGUGAUGGUUUGUAGAGUUUGAGUAUAGAUGUAAAGGUUGUAGAAGUGUUAGGAGUUGUUUUAAGAGAAGAGGAUUGAUGUAUUUUCUAUUAUUAUGCUUAGUGCAGAUGUGGAAAGUGUGUAAUAUUCGAUGGGGGAAAAUUAUUGAUUUAGAAGAAAACGUAGCAUUGACAUUAGGUGAACUUUUUGUAACUAUUAAACAUGAGAAACAGUUAUAAGCGGAUGGAGUACAUUGGAGUAAUGCGGUUUUAAAAAACAUGAAAUAGAGAAUCUUGAAAUGUCUUGAAGAAGCAAUGCAUAGCAAAUGAGAAAUAUAAAGAAACGGAAGCAGAGUUCGGUUCACAUUGUUUUCAUUUGGAGACAUUACUCAAUUGAGUAUUUGGGACCAUCUUUGUCCGCUUCAUUUGUUGACGUAUAGGUGGCAGCAGCGGAAGUUGAUGAUUCCCCAUAUUCCAUUUUUCUUUUUUUUUUGUUGCAUUGAUGGUUAAAAUAUGUAGAGUGGUGUAUAAGUUAGUGUAAAAAAUAUAAGACAUAUGUAAACGUUUAGAUUAGUUAAUACUAUAAUACCUCCUUGUUAGGAAUGGCGCUCAUUUCAGAGAAGGUGAAGGUAGGGCCGUUGUCUGUUAAAUUGUCUGUCGUCACAUUUACAUGAUAAAUAAAUUUUUGGCCUUCAAGUUCUGCAAUACAUUUUGGGAGUCUAUUGGGUAGAAGACGAUUCACCUGAAGUACAAUCACUACAAGAAAACAAGUCCUCGAAAAUAAUUCCUCGGAAUUUUUUCUUUCCUCGGAAAUCCCUCGGAAUUUUCCGACGGAAUUCUGAGGAAACAAAUUUCCGAGGAAAUUCCGAGGAUCACUAAUUUGUCGGAAAUCUCCUCGGAAUAUACCGAGGGAGAACUUCGUCGGGAUAUUUCCUCGGAACUUCAUCGAUCGAUGCGUUUUUGGACAUAUAUCCAUCGAUCGAUCCGUUUAUAAAAAAACGUUCGGAAUAUACCGAGGGACAUCUUCCUCGGAAUAUUCCAAGGAACAUGUCCCUCGGUAUAUUCCGAGGAACAUGUCCCUCGGUAUAUUCCGAGGAAAGUUGUCCCUCGGUAUAUUCCGAGGAAGAUGUCCAUCGGUAUAUUCCGAACGUUUUUUUAUAAACAGAUCGAUCGAUGGAUAUAUGUCCAAAAACGCAUCGAUCGAUCGAGUAAAAAAUAUAAUUAAUUUCCUCGGAAUGUAAAAAAUAUUAAUUUUUUAUCAUCCUACUCUUCGAGACGGAACCCAUAGACGAAGUACGAGACUCUCCAGAUGAAGUACGAGACUCUCCAGGAAGAAACACCUCAAACAACUACUUCGACAACGUCCUCCCUUAGCUUUUUAUUUUUCAAUUUUUUUGUUUUCUAUUAUUAAUUUGAAUAUUAUUUUAUGACAUUUAUAUAUUUUUUCAAAAAAUAUUUUUAUUUUCAAUAUUUUAUUUUAUAAUUUAUAUAUUUUUAGAUUUUGAAUAUUUCAUAAUAUUAUAAUAAUAUGACAAUGAUAUGUAAAUUUCUUAUAAUGUUUACAAGGAGUUUACAAGAAAGUACUUGUAAAAUCCUCGUAAUCUUUACAAGAAAUUUACUAGGAAAUACUUGUAAAUUCCUCGUAAACAUUACAAGGAGUUUACAUUAAAAGACUUGUAAAUUCGUCCUAAAUUGUACAAGUACUUAAAGAAGACUUUACAAGGAAACUAUACGAGUCUUUUACGAUGAAACGUAACUACGAAAUUACGAUGAAAUACUCUCUUUUGCUUUUACAACGAAUUUAUUUCAUCGUAAAUGUUACGUGGAAGUUUCGACGAAUCUUGUAUUAUGACGGACGUUUUACAACGAAACACUAUUCCUUGUUAAUUCGUUGUAAUCCUUCUAUUACAACGAAUUAACAAGAAAUAUGACACUUGUAAUAAAUAUGUUUUCUUGUAUCGUUUUGAGAGAAUCAUGUUAAUUAAUGAAUUCAUAACAUACAAUAAUUCUAAAAAUAUCCAUUCCAUCAUGUACAAAUGAAUCCCAACAGAUAAAAUUAUUACAAAUGUUUUUUUAACACAUACAAGUAGAUUGUUUUUUUUUUUUUGCAUAUGUAAUCAUCUGAGAUGAGUCAUUAUGGAUUUAGAAGUUUAAACAUCUGUACACAUUAACUUGCUUUAUCAGAGGCUUAACUUGUGAUGCACCAUCUUCAAAAGACUCAAGACUCACAUCGUUAAGGAUCAGAUUAUCCAAAGUUUUUUUUUCGCAUAAUAUUUCCAAAAGGCCAUAAUCAACCUUCAGUCUGUCACCACACUCGGUUAGGGCAAAUACGUAAUCAAACUAGAAAAACCACGAGGGACAAUUCUUGUAUACAGUAUGCACGACUGUGCCAAUCUCUUUUGCGAGGUAAAAUGAUGCUUCUUCUGGAAUGUAAGUGAGAUAAGAGAGCCUUAUAUCUGCUUCAAGAAUAUGUGACUUCCAUCAACAAAUCCUGCAAACUUUGUCAACUUAAGCCAUUGAGUUUGUGUUAAUAAUUUAAACACAAGCUCAAUGACAAUAUCUUCGAAGGAGGAAGAAAGACUGAGGAACGAGCUUAAACUGAGUUAUAAACUCUAAAAUCUUGGAUUACGAUCUACACCAAAACUUGAUACAAAGAAAAAAUUAAAGAUAUUAGUAAAAAAGAACAGAGAAGUUUAGUUCAAUGCCAAGGUAAGCUUUAGGCCACAUCUAUAAUUGAUAUUUUUAAGGCCACAAAUCUUAAAUUGUGUAAUGGUCAUAGAUGAUUGUUCAAAACCUCGAAAUUUAAUAUUUAGUCAUUUUAGUUUUUCACACUUUCUUAGUCUCUGUUUCUAGACUAAUUUUAAUCUAUUUGUCUGAAUUUAUAACUUAUAACCAUAUAUAUUUCAUUUUAACUAUCAACUAGAUCAUGAUCCGCGCGUCCGCGCGGGUUUAAACUUUAUAGUUCAAACUUUCUUCAUUGUAUAUAUUUUUACGAUUUACAAAUGUUUAAUAUGAUUUUAUAGUUUAAAUGCAUCAAUUUUAUUAGUUUUUUUAAUUGUUAUUUGUUUUAGUUGUUUAUUAUGUAUAUAAUGUGUUGGAAAUAAAAUAAGAUAUCUAAUCUCUUAAUGUUGAGUUAUUAUUUAUUUGUUUUUUUUAUAUAUUAUUUAUUAUAAUUAUUCAUCAUUUAUGCCGAAUUUAUUUUUUUGGGGCUUAAUAAUAAAUAAAUAAAUAUUAGAUGAUAUGUUAUAUUUUAACUUAUAUGAGAUAAAAUAUGUUAAUUGACUUUAUUGUUUAUAAUAGAAUUUAUAAUUUUUUUGGGUUUUACAUGUACCAUUGUCAUAAACCCACCUAAUCAUUCAACUAAUUUCAACGGGUAAUUUUAUAUUUUCAUUAUAAAUAUUUUCUUUAUACAACAUACAAUAUAACUUGUAUAUUGUAUAAAAACAGUAUAUUUGUUAUUUGGGUAAGUCAAACGUGAUUUGAAAGGACUAAUGUGGGAUACCUUAAUCGGAUUUGAAUCUUGAGGUAACAGUAUACUUGUUUCCUUUCUCUAAAUUAGACUUGAUUUGCAUUUUUUAUAAUAGAAUAUGAAGUUAUUGUAAGUAAGAUUGCAAUCUUUUUAGUAUAAUGACUGCUUAAAAAUAGGAAGGGUUUUUAAAAUGUUACAUGAUUUAAUUGCGCUACGAAUUUAUUAGUUUAGAUUUGGUGGACAGAAAAUAUUUUUUAUAUUAAGUAACCAAUUUUAGCAUUUUCAAUAUAUUUUGGAUAUAAUAAAAACAAAUGAGUAGAAUUGAUUAGAUACUAAUGGAUCAAUUUUUUUUUUUGUGUGUGGAAAGUCUUACAAAUUUGGUAUACAAACAAAAGUAGUCAAUUGAAUUUUGGAAAGGUUGGAUUUUAUUCUGUUGACAGCACUAGCCGAAAAAUAACCUAAACCAAUUGUGUACGUGUUUCAAAACCAACAGAUAUAUAAAAGUUUCAAAAGUGAGAUAUAACUGGUUUUGAAUCACGUUUAAAUUUGGUUAAUUAUGGAACUAUAAUUUCGCUGGUAACCGAGUAUUAAAAGCAGUGGCAUUGAAGCGUAAUUAUUUAAAAAAACUCAGGGUUAAUUCAAAUUUAUACUUCUGAUUAAAUAGUUAUUAAUCUCUGAUUUUUAUGCUACUCGCCUAGUGCAAUUUCCAAGAUGGGUUGUGUGAAAUCUUGAAGGCGACACAAAACAAUACAAUUAAACCGAAAAUGCUAAACCGGAAUGAACCGAAAAAUGUUAAACCGGAGAUCAUGCCAUCUUUUGAUGAGUCAUCAUCAUCCUUAUUAGAUCCACCAAACACACAAAAGUGCUCCUCGUAGUAUCUCCGGCCGAUGAAGAUUCUCGUUGCCGUUAAGCGUGUCGUCGACUACGCCGUCAAGAUCCGUGUCAAACCCGACAAGGUACAAAAUCAAAAAACCCAUCUCUAAACAUCUCCGUAGUCCAUCCACUGAGUCACCGUUAAAAUUCGAUCCCUUUAUAGACCGGCGUAGAUACCCAGAAUGUCAAGAUGUCGAUGAACCCAUUCUGCGAGAUCGCGCUCGAGGAAGCCCUUCGAAUCAAAGAAGCUGGGUUCGCCAAAGAGGUCGUCGCAGUGAGCAUCGGGCCUUCACAGUGCGUUGACACGCUUCGCACUGGUCUAGCCAUGGGCGCUGAUCGUGGAAUCCAUGUCGAGGCCAGUUAUAGCUUCCUCCCUUUGACGAUCGCUAAGAUCUUGAAGAGUCUCGCUGAUGUCGAGAAUCCUGGAUUGAUUUUCCUCGGGAAACAGGUUCGUUUCACGAUGUAAAGUUCAUAUUGUUCAGUCUUCAGUUGCAGAAAGAUUCGAACUUUAGGAUCUUUGAAGAGGCAAUCUUGUUGAGUUAGGGAUUUAAAAUGCUUAUAAGAAUGUGCUAUUAUGCAAUUUUUAUUGUCUUUUUUAACGUUUAGGCAAUAGAUGAUGACUGCAAUCAAACAGGACAAAUGGUUGCAGCUUUGCUUGGUUGGCCACAAGCAACUUUUGCAUCUAAGGUGGUAACAAGUGAUUUAUACAUUACAUUUUAAGUUGUUAUAGUUAUUUUGUUCAUUUCGUCUUUUUGUUUAGUAGGUUGUGUUGGAUAAGGAUAAGCAGUCUGCAACUGUGGAUAGAGAAGUUGAUGAAGGUCUUGAAACCCUUAGUGUAGAUUUACCCGCUGUGAUCACGUAAGUUCUACUUUAUUUACAUGAUUAUGUCUUUGGGGUUGAGGUUUGAUUAGAUUAGAUGCAAGAACUCUUAUUGUAACAACUUUGAUGUUGUAAUGCAGAACUGACUUGAGGUUGAACCAACCAAGAUAUGCAACACUCCCCAACAUAAUGAAGGCAAAAUCGAAGCCGAUAAAGAAAAUGACGUUGGAGGAUCUGAAAGUAGACAUUAAAUCUGACAUAGAGAUUGUGGAAGUCACGGAGCCUCCAAAGAGGAAAUCUGGAGUUAUCGUUUCUUCAGUGGAUGAGUUGAUAUAUAAGCUCAAAAAUGAAGCUCAUGUAGUUUGAAGAAACAAACCUUAUAUGUCUUCAUCAUGAUCUGCUACACGCACACUUGUCAUUUUUCUUUCUUCUUUAGAUACAUUGCUAUUUCAGGAAUGAAGUAGAAAGUAAAUAAAUAAAGGACGUGUAAAACAGUUUAUU
rnacentral:lncRNA from 1 species